GUCUUGGUUGCUCAGUUGGUAGAGUGCAAGACUCUUAAUCUCAGGACCAUAGGUUCGAGCCCCAUGCUGGGCA